UUUACUGUACACAUUCAUAGAAUCAACAUGUUGAGUCAAAAGUUUUGUAAUAUUUUGGUAACUUAUCAAAUUACAACGAAAGCAACCUAGCAUUCAAAGUAGAGGCAUCUUGUUGACCCAUCUGAAGCUACCUUUCUGCAAGUUCUUUGAUUCCAUGUUGAUACAAGUUCUUGUUCAUUGGUGUAAAGAGUUCCUUCACUGAAGUUUUCACCUCCUCUUGUUUGAUAAAGCAUUAUGAGCACUGGAAGUGAGCCAUGAAUUGGAAGAAGUAGUUGUCUGAGAGAGCUUGGUACAGACUGUUUGUUUGGUGUGACAUCAGUUCAAUUCCUUCGAGUUCCUGGAGUUUAUUACAGGUUGCUCAAGCAGUUAUAGGUCUUGCAUUGUCUUGUUAUCACUUUUUGUUAACCAAUGCCAUGCCAAGUAAUUUUUAUGCAUAAUGGCAUAUUUCUGCUUCAGCUGUUUGGAAUACAUGUUGGCAUAAAUGGUUCAACCAACCGGAAUAAAUUCAUAGUGAAUUAUCCCCUUGUAAUUCCAACGGAUGCAGAACGUCACCUUGUGCUCUAAGCACCCAUGAUUGGCAACUUGCUCAGCCACUGCUUAUGCACAUUAGGAGUGUAGAAAAAUAUCUCCCUCAGAUUAUUACUUGUUCCAAUCUGUGGCUCACUUCCUGUGCUAGCCACACUUCAUCAACCUAGAGGAGGUGGAAAGUUCUGUGACGGUGUUCUUUGCCUUGAUGGACAAGAACUGGUAUCAUUGUGGGGAUCAAAGAACUUGCAGAAAGGUGGCUUCAGUUAGUGCAACACAAUGACCUCUACUUUACAUUGUAUUAUAGCAUAGAGCAUUCACAUUCACAGAAACUAAUACUUUUGAUGGCUCUCCUCUCUCCAUCUCUCUCAUUCUGCUUUCUACAUGUCCUUCAAAUCACAUUCUACUGUCGAAUGUAAUAUAUGUGUGUAUGUGCAUGCAUGUAUGAGUAUGUAUGUGAGGGGGCUCUUUUUGGUUAAAUCUGCUAAAAGUAUCAGCCAAAUCUCCUUCAAUUCAGUAGCAAUAAGCUAUCAAACACGAUAUAGUGUUGGGUUUCCCACUCUUAUGAUAAAACUAUGUUGGUCAUGAUUAGACUCCUCAGUUUACAUGGAUUUAUUCCUGAAAAAUCCUGGAAUUUUUACUCAUCUGUUAACUAUUUUAUAAUGAUUUGGAGUUUUGGAGACCAGAAGGCAGGAAUUAUGAGCUUAAAAAUUUAUUCCAUUAAAAAUAUAUACUAAUAGAAAACUUUAAAUAUUUACAGAGAAAAUUAAAAAAUAACUUUCCUGGAUAAUAAAAAUGUAUUCCAAUCAGAGGUGUAUGUUUCAACUUGCUCACAAUUUUACAACAGUUAGGGCUCUCAUGGUUUUAUGUAGAAGUCUGCGAAAUUUUUGGGGAGGGUGCCAGUUGAUUAGAUCGACCCCAGUACGCAACUGGUACUUAAUUUAUCAACCCCAAAAGAUGAAAGGCAAAGUUGAGCUCGGCGGAAUUUGAACUCAGAACGUAAAGACAGACAAAACACCGCUAAGCAUUUCACCUGGCAUGUUAACGUUUCCGCUAGCUCGCCACCUAAGUUGGUGAAAUAUUAGUGAAUGAGAGCUGUUUCUGCAAGUUUACAGUUUCGUGUCUGUCUCUUGGAAAAUUAUUUGGGAUCAUGAUUAAAUGCUUCGUUGGUUAUUUUCAUUAGUUUCGUUAAUAGCAAUGUGUAAUCUCUCAAGUUCGGAUGUUUCUUUUAAUGAAGUUAGUGUUUCAGUUAUGGGUUCAAAUAAAGGAUUCUUCUGACAAAAUGAUGAGUGGUUCUGUGGAAGCUUGCUUUUCAACCACAUGAUUCUGGGUUCAGUCCCACUGUGUGACACACUUGGACAAGUGUCUUCUACUAUAGCCUCAGGCCAACCAGUGGAGUGGAUCUGGUAGACAGAAACUGAAA
rnacentral:lncRNA from 1 species